rfam:Picoides pubescens contig43639, whole genome shotgun sequence.
GCUGAAGUAGCUCAGCUGGGAGAGCGUUAGACUGAAGAUCUAAAGGUCCCUGGUUCAACCCCAGGCUUCAGCA